UACAUGUGGGGCAAGCGUUGUUCGGAAUUACUGGGCAUAAAGGGUGCGUAGGCGGCUUGUUAAGUCAGGGGUGAAAGUUUUCGGCCCAACCGGAAAAUUGCCUUUGAUACUGGCGAGCUCGAGUGCGUGAGGGGUAACCGGAACGAGCAGUGUAGCGGUGAAAUGCGUAGAUAUCGGGAGGAACACCUGUGGCGAAAGCGGCGCACUGGACCACAACUGACGCUGAGGCGCGAAAGCUAGGGGAGCAAACAGG
rnacentral:rRNA from 1 species